AUCCUGGCUCAGGAUGAACGCUGGCGGCGUGCUUAACGCAUGCAAGUUGAACGAAGAAGUCAGAGUGCUUGCACUCAGGCUUACUGAGUGGCGGACGGGUGAGUAACGCGUGGGUAACCUGCCUCACGACAGGGGGAUAACAGUCGGAAACGACUGCUAAUACCGCAUAAGCGCACAGUGCCGCAUGACACAGUGUGAAAAACUCCGGUGGUGUGAGAUGGACCCGCGUCUGAUUAGCUAGUUGGUGAGGUAACGGCCCACCAAGGCGACGAUCAGUAGCCGGCCUGAGAGGGUGAACGGCCACAUUGGGACUGAGACACGGCCCAAGCUCCUACGGGAGGCAGCAGUGGGGAAUAUUGCACAAUGGGGGAAACCCUGAUGCAGCGACGCCCGCGUGAGUGAUGAAGUAUUUCGGUAUGUAAAGCUCUAUCAGCAGGGAAGAUAAUGACGGUACCUGACUAAGAAGCACCGGCUAAAUACGUGCCAGCAGCUGC
rnacentral:rRNA from 1 species